CCUACGGGGGGCAGCAGUGGGGGAUAUUGCACAAUGGGGGGAACCCUGAUGCAGCGACGCCGCGUGGGUGAAGAAGCGCCUCGGCGCGUAAAGCCCUGUCAGCAGGGAAGCAAAUGACGGUACCUGAAGAAGAAGCCCCGGCUAACUACGUGCCACCAGCCGCGGUAAUACGUAGGGGGCAAGCGUUAUCCGGAUUUACUGGGUGUAAAGGGGGCGCAGACGGGGUUGCAAGCCAGGGGUGAAAGACGGGGGCCCAACCCCGGGACUGCUCUUGAAACUGCGUGGCUGGAGUGCAGGAGGGGCAGGCGGAAUGCCUGGGGUAGCGGUGAAAUGCGUAGAUAUCAGGAGGAACACCGGUGGCGAAGGCGGCCUGCUGGACUGCAACUGACGUUGAGGCCCGAAAGCGUGGGGAGCAAACAGGAUUAGAUACCCUAGUAGUC
rnacentral:rRNA from 1 species